AUUGAACGCUGGCGGCAUGCCUUACACAUGCAAGUCGAACGGUAACGCGGGGCAACCUGGCGACGAGUGGCGAACGGGUGAGUAAUGUAUCGGAACGUGCCCAGUUGUGGGGGAUAACUGCUCGAAAGAGCAGCUAAUACCGCAUACGACCUGAGGGUGAAAGCGGGGGAUCGCAAGACCUCGCGCAAUUGGAGCGGCCGAUAUCAGAUUAGGUAGUUGGUGGGGUAAAGGCCCACCAAGCCAACGAUCUGUAGCUGGUCUGAGAGGACGACCAGCCACACUGGGACUGAGACACGGCCCAGACUCCUACGGGAGGCAGCAGUGGGGAAUUUUGGACAAUGGACGCAAGUCUGAUUCAGCCAUGCCGCGUGCGGGAAGAAGGCCUUCGGGUUGUAAACCGCUUUUGUCAGGGAAGAAAAGGGCGACUCUAAUACAGUUGCCUCAUGACGGUACCUGAAGAAUAAGCACCGGCUAACUACGUGCCAGCAGCCGCGGUAACAC
rnacentral:rRNA from 1 species